GACGAACGCUGGCGGCGUGCCUAAUACAUGCAAGUUGAGCGCUGAAGGGUGGUACUUGUACCAACGGGAUGAGCAGCGAACGGGUGAGUAACGCGUGGGGAAUCUGCCUUUGAGCGGGGGACAACAUUUGGAAACGAAUGCUAAUACCGCAUAAAAUCUUUAAACACAAGUUUCAAGAGUGAAAGAUGCAAUUGCUUUCACCAAAGAUUAUACCGCGUUGUAUUUGCUAGGUGGGGAGGGAAAGGCCCAACAAGGCGAAGAUACAUAGCCGACCCGGAAGGGUGAUCGGCCCAAUUGGGACCGAGACACGGCCCAACCUCCUACGGGAGGCAGCAGUAGGGAAACUUCGGCAAUGGACGAAAGUCUGACCGAGCAACGCCGCGUGAGUUAAGAAGGUUUUCCGAUCUUAAAACUCUUUUUGUUGAGAAGAACGUUAGUUGGAGUUGAAAACGCAUCUAUUGACGGUAACUACCCAGAAAGCCACGGCUAACUACGUG
rnacentral:rRNA from 1 species